rnacentral:rRNA from 1 species
UACAGAGGUGGCAAGCGUUGUUCGGAAUUACUGGGCGUAAAGGGCGCGUAGGCGGCCAUCUAAGUCAGACGUGAAAUCCCCCAGGCUCAACCUGGGAACUGCGUGUGAUACUGGCGGGCUUGAAUUCGGGAGAGGGAUGCGGAAUUCCAGGUGUAGCGGUGAAAUGCGUAGAUAUCUGGAGGAACACCGGUGGCGAAGGCGGCAUCCUGGACCGAUAUUGACGCUGAUGCGCGAAAAGCCAGGGGGA